UGCUUGCCUAUGUUCGCCCAGGCUUGACCACGCGGGUGCACUCUCUCCCCAGCUCUCACACGUUCUUCUAAGCUUUCGAGCACUUUCCCGGCGGAUGGCUCUGCGAUGCGGGAAAGGCGUCUUGAUGUGAGCCUGGCUUCCUGUUCCCCAAUAGGCGCUCGAACCUCAAAAAUUGGAAGGCUGCAAUACCUGCUAAGAAAUCCUUCCAUUAUGGCGUGCCAGGGUAUCCAGUGAAAAGUUCUGUGAAAGUGAAAUCCACGUAGGUAGCCCAGUCCUCGCCUGUGGGGGUUUAGAGCUUGCUGAAGAGACAGUGGACCCCACGUACUUGUGAACUGGGUAAUAGAAAUAGUUUAAUACUCUUCUAAAUAUAAUGGAUGUGGGGAAGAUCUUUCUCUGGAUAUGCUAAGACUGUCGAAGAAGAAAGCCAAGAAGAAAAAGUGGCAAAGAAGAGCGGAAUUUCUGAGAAGAGAACAGCCUUUAAGAGCUGGAAGAUGAAAGCUCCGAUUCCUCACUUGAUUCUCUUAUAUGCUACUUUUACUCAGAGUUUGAAGGUAGUGACCAAAAGAGGUUCUGUUUCAAUUACUGAAACCACUCCAGUAUUCUUGCUUGGAGAAUCCCCAUGGAUAGAGGAAUCUGGCGGGCUACAGUCCACGGGGUCACAAAGAGUUGGACACAACUGAAUGACUAAGCCCAUAUCUUACUAAUUUUCUGCCUGCUUGAUCUAUUAAUUAUUGAAAUGCAACCUUCAACUUUAAUAGUGGGUUUAUCUAUUUCUCCUCCCAGCUCUGUUAGUUUUAUGUUCUAUAUUAAUUUUGACACUCUUGUUUGGUAUAUACACAUUUAGGAUUGCUAUGACUUCUUGGGGAGAAGGCAGUGGCACCCCACUCCAGUACUCUUGCCUGGAAAAUCCUAUGGAUGGAGGAGCCUGGUGGGCUGCAGUCCAUGGGGUCGCACAGAGUCGGACACGACUGAGCGACUUCACUUUCACUUUUCACUUUCAUGCAUUGGAGAAGGAAAUGGCUACCCACUCCAGUAUUCUUGCCUGGAGAAUCCCAGGGACAGAGGAGCCUAGUGGGCUGCUGUCUAUGGGGUUGCACAGAGUUGGACAUGACUAAAGUGACUUAGCAGCAUGACUUCUUGGAGAAUUUAUUCUUUUAUAAUUAUGUGGUGUCCUUCUUCAUACCUGAUAAUUUUCUGUUCUGAAGUCUAUUUUGCCUCAAAUUUAUUUUUUGUCUUCAUAUUUAAGGUGGGUUUAUUGUAGAUUACAUAUUUUUUUAUCUACUUAGAUAGUUUCUCUCUUCUAAUUGGUACACUUAGAUAAUUCAUAUUUAAGUAGUUAUGAUAUAGUUGGAUUGAUAUCUAUCAUGUUGUAAUUAUUUUCCAUUUAUUGCAUUUUUGCUUUGGGAAGUAAAGAUGAAAGCCCCUAGGUAUAUUACUCAUUGGAAUAUACAUUAAUGGCUCCAGGGAAGAUGUACACAGUUCUCUCUAGGGGUUUCAUUGGGCUUCUAAUUUUCUUUUCUCAGAAACCCCCAAACAUGCAAAAACAUGAAAAUACUUCAAUGGCAUAACUUCCUUAUAGUUUUAGCCAAUCUGUAUCAUUUCUGGAAUCUUUAAACUUAAGAGGAUUUGAUUUAACCUCCCUUUUCCCCCCUAUAUGGACAUUUUUAGUAUAUUAAACACUGUAUUUAACUUCAUUCAGAAAUUUAACCAAACCUUUCAGGAAAAUGGUGAAUUUCUCUAAAACAUUGUCACCAAACAAUAUUUAUCUGAAAUGAUUAAUGAUAUUCUUUUUACCUACCACUCACACUUAUAAUUUGUAAAAUACAGUCUUUUAUGUUUGGAGUUUAAAGGAUUUCCAUAAAAUGUUUUGAUGUAUAUUAGUAACAGAUUUUUGUUUUCAUGGAAGUUUUCUCUGGUUAUAAUAAAAACUGGUUCAUUUCCGUUCA
ensembl:lncRNA